rnacentral:rRNA from 1 species
UAAAAUACAUCUGUUAGCAAGGGCCGGGCAAGACCGGUGCCAGCCGCCGCGGUAACACCGGCGGCCCGAGUGGUGAUCGUGAUUAUUGGGUCUAAAGGGUCCGUAGCCGGUUUGGUCAGUCCUCCGGGAAAUCUGACGGCUCAACCGUUAGGCUUUCGGUGGAUACUGCCAGACUUGGAACCGGGAGAGGUAAGAGGUACUACAGGGGUAGGAGUGAAAUCUUGUAAUCCCUGUGAGACCACCUGUGGCGAAGGCGUCUUACCAGAACGGGUUCGACGGUGAGGGACGAAAGCUGGGGGCACGAACCGGAUUAGAUACCCGGGUAGUCCCAGCCGUAAACGAUGCUCGCUAGGUGUCAGGCAUGGCGCGACCGUGUCUAGUGCCGCAGGGAAGCCGUGAAGCGAGCCACCUGGGAAGUACGGCCGCAAGGCUGAAACUUAAAGGAAUUGGCGGGGGAGCACAACAACGGGUGGAGCCUGCGGUUUAAUUGGACUCAACGCCGGACAACUCACCGGGGACGACAGCAAAAUGUAGCC